CAGUUAUCGUUUAUUUGAUAGUACCUUACUACUUGGAUACCUGUGGUAAUUCUAGAGCUAAUACAUGCUAAAAACCUCGACUUCGGAAGGGGUGUAUUUAUUAGAUAAAAAACCAAUGCCCUUCGGGGCUCCUUGGUGAUUCAUAAUAACUUAACGAAUCGCAUGGCCUUGAGCCGGCGAUGGUUCAUUCAAAUUUCUGCCCUAUCAACUUUCGAUGGUAGUAUAGUGGACUACCAUGGUUUCUACGGGUAACGGGGAAUUAGGGUUCUAUUCCGGAGAGGGAGCCUGAGAAACGAAGUCAAAUCAUCCUUAAACUAAAUAAUUCGAAGCCAUUACUAACAUUAUUAAUAGGGCUACCACAUCCAAGGAAGGCAGCAGGCGCGCAAAUUACCCAAUCCCGACACGGGGAGGUAGUGACAAUAAAUACUGAUCCAGGGCUCUUUUGGGUCUUGGAAUUGGAAUGAGUACAAUUUAAAUCCCUUAACGAGGAACAAUUGGAGGGCAAGUCUGGUGCCAGCAGCCGCGGUAAUUCCAGCUCCAAUAGCGUAUAUUAAAGUUGUUGCAGUUAAAAAGCUCGUAGUUGAAACUUGGGCCUGGCUGACCGGUCCGCCUCACCGCGUGCACUGGCUCGGCCGGGCCUUUCCUUCUGGGGAACCGCAUGGCCUUCAUUGGUCGUGUUGGGGAUCCAGGACUUUUACUUUGAAAAAAUUAGAGUGUUCAAAGCAGGCCUAUGCUCGAAUACAUUAGCAUGGAAUAAUAGAAUAGGACGUGUGGUUCUAUUUUGUUGGUUUCUAGGACCGCCGUAAUGAUUAAUAGGGAUAGUCGGGGGCAUCAGUAUUCAAUUGUCAGAGGUGAAAUUCUUGGAUUUAUUGAAGACUAACUACUGCGAAAGCAUUUGCCAAGGAUGUUUUCAUUAAUCAGUGAACGAAAGUUAGGGGAUCGAAGACAGAUACCGUCGUAGUCUUAACCAUAAACUAUGCCGACUGGGGAUCG
rnacentral:rRNA from 1 species